rnacentral:rRNA from 1 species
UGGGGAAUAUUGGACAAUGGGCGCAAGCCUGAUCCAGCCAUGCCGCGUGUGUGAAGAAGGCCUUUUGGUUGUAAAGCUCUUUAAGCGAGGAGGAGGCUACUUGGAUUAAUACACUAGGAUAGUGGACGUUACUCGCAGAAUAAGCACCGGCUAACUCUGUGCCAGCAGCCGCGGUAAUACAGAGGGUGCGAGCGUUAAUCGGAUUUACUGGGCGUAAAGCGUGCGUAGGCGGCUUCUUAAGUCGGAUGUGAAAUCCCUGAGCUUAACUUAGGAAUUGCAUUCGAUACUGGGAAGCUAGAGUAUGGGAGAGGAUGGUAGAAUUCCAGGUGUAGCGGUGAAAUGCGUAGAGAUCUGGAGGAAUACCGAUGGCGAAGGCAGCCAUCUGGCCUAAUACUGACGCUGAGGUACGAAAGCAUGGGGAGCAAACAGG